rnacentral:lncRNA from 1 species
CUCACAAUUGAAUUAAUGCCGAAAAAUAUACAGGAACAGAUCUGAAGAAUUCAAGGAUCAUUUGAUUGAAAUCGCGAGAGAAAAAGUAGAAGAGAAAAAAUCUGCCAAGUGAAGAAAAUUGAACCAUGCUGGAGUAACAGGGGGAUUGACCGCCCCCGACAGAACCCCACUAAUAGGGAGGUGGGGCCCUUUUUUGGCAUAGGACCCACCCCAAUUGGUGGGGUCUAUCAAGGGGGCAGUCAGCCCCCUUGUUACACCAGGAAUUUCCAAGAAAAUGAAUAUUGAAAGUGAAGUCUCUCUCUCUU